GACGAACGCUGGCGGCGUGCUUAACACAUGCAAGUCGAACGAUGAAGCUAGAGCUUGCUCUGGUGGAUUAGUGGCGAACGGGUGAGUAACACGUGAGUAACCUGCCCCGAACUCUGGGAUAACUGCUAGAAAUGGUAGCUAAUACCGGAUACGACCCUCGGAGGCAUCUCCAGGGGGUGGAAAGAAUUUCGGUCAAGGAUGGACUCGCGGCCUAUCAGCCAGUUGGUGAGGUAAUGGCUCACCAAGGCGACGACGGGUAGCCGGCCUGAGAGGGUGACCGGCCACACUGGGACUGAGACACGGCCCAGACUCCUACGGGAGGCAGCAGUGGGGAAUAUUGCACAAUGGGCGCAAGCCUGAUGCAGCAACGCCGCGUGAGGGAUGACGGCCUUCGGGUUGUAAACCUCUUUUAGUAGGGAAGAAGCGAAAGUGACGGUACCUGCAGAAAAAGCACCGGCUAACUACGUGCCAGCCGCCGCAGUAA
rnacentral:rRNA from 1 species